AUUGAACGCUGGCGGCAUGCCUUACACAUGCAAGUCGAACGGCAGCACGGGGCAACCUGGUGGCGAGUGGCGAACGGGUGAGUAAUGCAUCGGGACGUACCUUUCAGUGGGGGAUAACGUAGCGAAGGUUACGCUAAUACCGCAUAUUCUGUGAGCAGGAAAGCAGGGGAUCGCAAGACCUUGCGCUGAUUGAGCGGCCGAUGUCAGAUUAGCUAGUUGGUGAGGUAAAGGCUCACCAAGGCGACGAUCUGUAGCGGGUCUGAGAGGAUGAUCCGCCACACUGGAACUGAGACACGGUCCAGACUCCUACGGGAGGCAGCAGUGGGGAAUUUUGGACAAUGGGGGCAACCCUGAUCCAGCCAUGCCGCGUGAGUGAAGAAGGCCUUCGGGUUGUAAAGCUCUUUCGGCCGGGAAGAAAUCGCACGGGCUAAUACCCUGUGUGGAUGACGGUACCGGAAUAAGAAGCACCGGCUAACUACGUGCCAGCCGCCGCAGUAAUAC
rnacentral:rRNA from 1 species